CAGCCCGUUGGGCAGUUUAAGGAUGUUGGGAAUUCUAGUUUACCUGAGGGGCCGAUUGAACUGCCUACGCCAUUGUCUGAGGUAAAACAAGAGCCUUAUAAUCUUCCGAACUCGUAUGAAUGGAGUACAUGUGACAUGGGGUCUGAUGAAGUAUGCAAUGAGGUUUACGUGUUGUUGACCAAUAACUAUGUGGAGGAUGACGAUAACAUGUUCAGGUUUAAUUACUCGAAGGAGUUUCUUCGUUGGGCUUUGCGUUCUCCUGGGUAUUAUAGCAGUUGGCAUGUUGGAGUUCGUGUUAAGGCUUCGAAGAAGUUGGUUGCUUUCAUUAGUGGCAUUCCUGUGAACAUGAGGGUUCGAGAUCAAGUUGUGAAAAUGGCUGAGGUUAACUUUUUAUGCGUUCAUAAGAAACUUAGGUCGAAGAGACUUGCUCCGGUUAUGAUUAAGGAGGUUACGAGGAGGAUUCACUUGGAGAAUGUUUGGCAGGCUGCUUACA
rnacentral:lncRNA from 1 species